ensembl:lncRNA
AUUGGCGUGUGUUGCUGGAAAUGGCAUCUCCCCCUGCACGGCCCCUGCUUUACCUAGUAGCGUGACCAUGAAGCAAUGCACGAGCAGAGAGAUCUCAACAUGCACAGAGUCAGUCUGCUGCUCAUCUCACCAGCGGGAGCGCGUACAGCGUGCACUUAAAGAAAAAAUAUCUGAUUCCCAUCAGCCACAUGCUUCUUUCAACCCCACAGCGCGUCUUUAUUCAUUCGGGCUUCCAGCAACCAGCUGCACUUCAUGGCGAUAGAUAAAGAAAACCCCAUGCGCAAGGAGUUAAUAAGUCAAACAAAGGCAUAUGACUUCCAUAACUUCAUCGCUCAUUAACCGCUGAUGAUCUUCUCCUGUUUCAGAUAUCUUCACCCUGCCUGACAACAGACCGUCAGGAGCUUCACAUGAGAGUCCCGUGUAAGGAGUGAACUAUGGGAGAGAAAGGCCAGUUAUGUCCAUUUAAAUCCCUUAACAAGCACCACAGCAAACAAAAGACAGAUUAGCAUGAUUUACCAUGACCGUAUUAUUAAAUUACCUCAUCUACACAUGAGCCAACAAUUGAGUUACUUUUAUAGAUGUGUGCAGACGGUAUUAUGCAGGCACUGUGUAGGCUAUUCUUUGUUCAUUAAUGGUUUGGUAAACCACAUUUUGUAAGGUCUUGAAUAGAGCUAGCACUGGUUAGACCCAAAAAUUGCACAUUCAGAGGUAUCUUUCAAAACCAAUAUUCCCUAUUAGCAUUAAAGCUAUGCAUGCUAGACAUUGUCUGGGUUUGACUGGGAUGGGAUCUCGUUUAAAAAGCAAUGCAUUUAUAAAAUAUAUUGAUUAUAUUAUGUUGUAUAUUUUAAAAUAACGCUGAUAACUCUCAAACAAUAAAGUGAAAACGAUCAAAA